AAUCAACGCUGGCGGCGUGCUUAACACAUGCAAGUCGAACGGAAAGGCCCUUCGGGGUACUCGAGUGGCGAACGGGUGAGUAACACGUGGGUGAUCUGCCCUGCACUUUGGGAUAAGCCUGGGAAACUGGGUCUAAUACCGGAUAGGACCACGCGCUUCAUGGUGUGUGGUGGAAAGCUUUUGCGGUGUGGGAUGGGCCCGCGGCCUAUCAGCUUGUUGGUGGGGUAAUGGCCUACCAAGGCGACGACGGGUAGCCGGCCUGAGAGGGUGACCGGCCACACUGGGACUGAGAUACGGCCCAGACUCCUACGGGAGGCAGCAGUGGGGAAUAUUGCACAAUGGGCGCAAGCCUGAUGCAGCGACGCCGCGUGAGGGAUGACGGCCUUCGGGUUGUAAACCUCUUUCAAUAGGGACGAAGCGCAAGUGACGGUACCUAUAGAAGAAGGACCGGCCAACUACGUGC
rnacentral:rRNA from 1 species